CAAAUAGGUGAAUAAAUGUUAUUCCCCUAUUUGCCAAUAUUUUUUGAUAUAAAGAGACGAUAUCUAAAAUACGCUUAUGGCCACAGAGCCGGCAGAUAUUAAGUUUUGUCACUCAAAUGAAAUCUUUUUUUUAAUCUAGAGACAUUACAUUACCAUAUGAAAAUAAUUUUUUAACAGAGUUGCUCUCGUUGUUAAGUGUUCUCUUUUAGGUUUUGAAAUCUAUUCCAUUUAAGUUUAAAGGAAGUCCUCACACUGCUUAGCUAAUUGUCUUGGAAAAUGAAAAUGAACAUUAUCAUACUGUUUUUUGAUUUAAUUUGGUUAUCCAUAAUCACUGAAGGAAAAAGCCUCGCUAAAAAAACUAACAUUGCAAAAAUGCUUCAAGAAUUUAAUCAGUCAGUGGAAAAAAGUAUAAAAAAAUUAGAAAAAUUAAAAAUUGAUGAAUUUCGAAAAGAAAGCCAUUUUACGAGCGGCUCGCAUUUUAUAUUCCAAGACGAAAAAAGUAUUUAUUUUAAAAGAAUGAAAUACGAAAUUGAAAGCCUAAUGAAUGGAGUCAAUAAUGAUUACUCAGAAAAUCAGGAAGAACAUUUUAAUGCAAAUACCCCGCAACCUAAAGAAAAUCUUGUCAAGAAGAACAAAUAAAAAAUAAAGAAAAACAUUUUGAUGCAAACACUCAAGUUGCAAAUAUCAAUGUUUUUUAAAUGAAAACUUUUAAUGGUUUUUAACAACUACUCAAAAAGUUCUUGUAACA